CUUAAUCCACCCAUGCCACUUGUCUACAAAUUCCAUUCUCCUUAGUAAAUAAUUAAAAAAUCUCUAAUUCACAUGAUCGUAAACUUUUUCUACACUUAACUUGUAGAUGACACCCCCCUUCUUUCGGUCUAACAGAUUGUCCACCACCUUAUUGGCAACAAGUACUGUAUGUAGAAUUUGCCUGCCUCCCACAAAAGAAUGUUGACACUCAACUUUAGCUUUAUUCGUUCCCUUGGGCAUUCUUCUAGUUAGUACCUUUGUAAUGAGCUUAUAAAUGCGUCCAACUAAAUUGGUUAGUCUAAAAUCCCUGAUAUUAGUUGUUUCCUCCACCUUAGCAAUGAAUAUCAGGAUAAGAAAUUUAAGGAUCUAACAAAGGACUUAGAUUUGUGCAAUCCUUUACAUUUUUAAAUAAAAAAAAUUCAUGUUAAAACAAUUGAGACUGGGAGCCUUAACCUUUUUACACUGCAUGAGUCCCUAAAAAAGCUUUUCUUCUGUGAAGUCUUUUUCCACUGACAACCUGCUUGUCU
rnacentral:lncRNA from 1 species